AUGAACGUUGGCGGUGUGCCUAAUACAUGCAAGUCGAACGAAGAUGAUAGCAAUAUUGUCUUAGUGGCGAACGGGUGAGUAACGCGUUGGUGACCUGCCCCGAAGUGUGGAAUAACAAUUCGAAAGAAUUGCUAAUACCGCAUGUGAUCUUGGAGAUUAGAACCUCUUUGAUUAAAGGAUUUAUUCGCUUCGGGAGGGGCCUGCGUCCCAUCAGCUAGUUGGUAGGGUAAUGGCCUACCAAGGCUUUGACGGGUAGGGGGCCUGAGAGGGUGGCCCCCCACAAUGGAACUGAAACACGGUCCAUACACCUACGGGUGGCAGCAGUAGGGAAUAUUAGUAAUGGGCGAAGGCCUGAACUAGCAACACCGCGUGGGCGAUGAAGGCCUUCGGGUUGUAAAGCACUUUUAUGAGGGAAGAGCAAGGACUGUACCUCAUGAAUAAGGAGCGGCUAACUACGU
rnacentral:rRNA from 1 species